rnacentral:rRNA from 1 species
AACGAACGCUGGCGGCAGGCUUAACACAUGCAAGUCGAGCGCCCCGCAAGGGGAGCGGCAGACGGGUGAGUAACGCGUGGGAACGUACCUUUUGGUUCGGAACAACUCCGGGAAACUGGAGCUAAUACCGGAUAAGCACUAACGGGGAAAGAUUUAUCGCCGAAAGAUCGGCCCGCGUCUGAUUAGCUAGUUGGUGAGGUAACGGCUCACCAAGGCGACGAUCAGUAGCUGGUCUGAGAGGAUGAUCAGCCACACUGGGACUGAGACACGGCCCAGACUCCUACGGGAGGCAGCAGUGGGGAAUAUUGGACAAUGGGCGCAAGCCUGAUCCAGCCAUGCCGCGUGAGUGAUGAAGGCCUUAGGGUUGUAAAGCUCUUUUGUCCGGGAAGAUAAUGACUGUACCGGAAGAAUAAGCCCCGGCUAACUUCGUG